rnacentral:rRNA from 1 species
AUACGGAGGAUCCGAGCGUUAUCCGGAUUUAUUGGGUUUAAAGGGAGCGUAGGCCGUCUGUUAAGCGUGUUGUGAAAUGUAGAUGCUCAACAUCUGAAUUGCAGCGCGAACUGGCAGACUUGAGUGUGCGCAACGUAGGCGGAAUUCGUGGUGUAGCGGUGAAAUGCUUAGAUAUCACGAAGAACUCCGAUUGCGAAGGCAGCUUACGGGAGCACAACUGACGCUGAAGCUCGAAAGUGCGGGUAUC